GGAUAACUUACCCUUAGGACUGGGAUAACUCUGGGAAACUGGGGAUAAUACUGGAUAUUAGGCUAUGCCUGGAAUGGUUUGCCUUUGAAAUGUUUUUUUCGCCUAAGGAUAGGUCUGCGGCUGAUUAGGUCGUUGGUGGGGUAAUGGCCCACCAAGCCGAUGAUCGGUACGGGUUGUGAGAGCAAGGGCCCGGAGAUGGAACCUGAGACAAGGUUCCAGACCCUACGGGGUGCAGCAGGCGCGAAACCUCCGCAAUGUACGAAAGUGCGACGGGGGGAUCCCAAGUGUUAUGCUUUUUUGUAUGACUUUUCAUUAGUGUAAAAAGCUUUUAGAAUAAGAGCUGGGCAAGACCGGUGCCAGCCGCCGCGGUAACACCGGCAGCUCGAGUGGUAGCUGUUUUUAUUGGGCCUAAAGCGUUCGUAGCCGGUUUGAUAAGUCUUUGGUGAAAGCUUGUAGCUUAACUAUAAGAAUUGCUGGAGAUACUAUUAGACUUGAAGUCGGGAGAGGUUAGAGGUACUACCGGGGUAGGGGUGAAAUCCUAUAAUCCUGGGAGGACCACCUGUGGCGAAGGCGUCUAACUGGAACGAUCUUGACGGUGAGUAACGAAAGCCAGGGGCGCGAACCGGAUUAGAUACCCGGGUAGUCCUGGCCGUAAACGAUGUGGACUUGGUGUUGGAAUGGCUUUGAG
rnacentral:rRNA from 1 species